CCCUUAGAUGUUCUGGGCCGCACGCGUGCUACACUGAGUGGAUCAGCGGGUCAGGUUGCGCGAAAGUGUUUCCUAAUCUUGAAAUCCGCUCGUGAUGGAGAUUGACGGUUGCAAUUUUCCGUCAUGAACGAGGAAUACCUUGUAAGCGCGGGUCAUCAUCCCGCGCUGAAUACGUCCCUGCCCUUUGUACACACCGCCCGUCGCUCCUACCGAUUGAGUGGUCCGGUGAGGCUUUGGGAUCUGAGCAAAAAGAGCGUUUCGCUCGUUUGGCUCGGAAAACUCAGUCGAACCUUAUCAUUUAGAGGAAGGAGAAGUCGUAACA
rnacentral:rRNA from 1 species